UAGACAUAGACAUAGACAAUGCCUGAGAAAUUUGUCAAGAGAAUAUAGCCAGACAUGACGCGUCGCUAUCAGCAGAGCCCCAGAAUAAUGAAGGCAAGAUUUUAAGUCAUCGCCUCUCUAUGCGAUUCUCACGGAUUUUUCGCUGCCCUAUAAAAAAUUCUAAUUCAGCGAUUUUCAAAUUUUAAUCAGAAUUCAUAGUCCACGCUCAGGUCAAGCCAAGUUUGAAUUCAUAGCUAUGCAAAUUCGUGAAGUUUGCUCUGGACAGA
rnacentral:sRNA from 1 species